GCACGGACGGACCUCAGUUUAUCUACCCACUCACCAACUGGAUGUUGGGUUGCAUCUGCCGUGAGGCUGCUGUGGACACGCAGUUCCUCCUGGUUUUCUCCUGCCUCGUGCUGUCUGUGUUUUCCACCAUCAAGGAGUAUGAGAA
rnacentral:sRNA from 1 species